UGAUCAUGGCGCUUUUUGUUAGAGGUUUGAGAGGAUGAAGAGCUACUAACAUUGAAAGAACCAUUGUCAUUAGAUGGAACGGUUUGGGCUGGUUGCGGGAUGUUGACUGUUGGGUUUGUUGGAUGAGAGCGGCGUCGGACUUUCUGACGGAAGUUUAAAACUUCAUCUAAAAUGACACGGCGUAACUCAUUUGCAUCCUCAAUGUAUUCAAAGCUGAAAUCAAAGACGGAAUCACACACAGGUUCGUCAGAGGGAUCAUGCCAAACAGCUAAAUAGGGAUGUUCUAAAGCAUCGUCAACCGAAAUACGUCUGUUGGGGUCGAAAGCCAAGAGCUUAGCAAGCAGGUCAAGAGCCAAAGGAUUGGCUUUAGGAAAAUUGGUUUCAAAAGGAAUAGGUCUUUGCUUUGGCAAGCUUCGAACAUACUCCUGUGCACGGGAACUGCUUAUAUGAGACAGGGUUUCCUCAUCAGGUGUGCCAAGUUGAUGCAAAAUUAAAUUUAACUGAUGAACAAAAUCUUUUCCCUUAAACAAAGGGGUUCCACCUAAUAGCUCUGCCAAAAUGCAACCAACACUCCAAACAUCAAUACCUUUAUGAUAGCUGCUGAACGAAAGCAUAAUUUCCGGAGCUCUGUACCAGCGCGUUGCCACAUACUCCGUCAUAAAACCAGGAUUUUCUUCUGGAUUUUCAGAACAUCCGCGAGCGAGGCCAAAAUCGCAAAUUUUCAGCUCACAAUCAGCGUUAACUAAAAGAUUACCUGGCUUUAAGUCACGAUGAAUAACGUUGGCAGAAUGAAUAUACUUUAAACCACAAAGUAUCUGGUAAAUGAAUGAUUGAAAAUGCGCAUCCGUUAAUGGCUGACCGGAUUUAAUAAUAGCA